GAGCGCAGCUCCGUGAGGCGCCCCAGGAGCCGCGCGAAGCGCUGCGGGUCCCCCGGGUGCUGCAGCUUCGAGUGCUUGUACAGGAUCCACAGCAGCGGCUCCUGCAGCUCCUCCACGUGGCGCUUGUCCCUCAGGAGCGGGCGGUCUGCGGGAGAGCGGCGGGGAGAGCGCGUGCAGAAACAGUUGCAAAUCAUCUUUGCCUGAAGCAUGGGAGAUGAUACCCCCCUGGAUCCACCUGGAUCGCUCUGUCCAGUGCUGGGCUCCCCAGGACAAGGGACAUGGAGCUCCUGGAGCAGGUCCAGCAGAGAACGUGAAGGUGAUGAGGAGGCUGGAGCAUCUCUCAUUUAUUUUCAUGAGAUGACUCGAGUCUUGCAGCACGGGAGCCAUCACCUGUAAGGAACUACACGCUAGAGGAUAUGGCAAUGUGUGGUUUGUCAGAUCUGAAGCAAGUAAAUAUAGGAAAAUAGCAUGGAAAGGCCAGCAUGGAAUCUCUCUUCUCCCCAUGUAAGUAAUUGUUUAUGCAGUAAAAGUCAGCUUUGCCUUGCUUGAGCACUGCCUGAUUUACAUUUAAGAGCCUGUAUUCCUUUAAGAGUGCAAAGCAUCCUGUGAAAACAAAAUAAAUUAAUAUCCUAUAGGAUUUAUUUCCUCGAGAGAGCUUCCCACUGUCCCUUGAACACUAAGGGAGCUUGGGCUCCUGGCUGGAUGCACUGACAUUCACAAUAACAAGGUGUACUGAGAGCUCACAGUGACACACUGAGAACAGCUGCUGUGCUUCAAAACUUACCUUAUUUUUCAGUAAUUUGAAUUAUAAAUUCAAAUUGAGAAAGAAGUUGUGGAAAAGGGUGCUCUAAAAAUUCUUACAAGAGUUUUAGAAAAAAAAAUGUAAUGUCCCUAUGGACACUAGCAGGAGCUGGGUUUGGGUUUACAUUCACAGAGCAAACCUCUGGUAUUGCUGAACUAUUGAGAGGUAAUGGAGCAGCCACUAGAGGAGUAAGUAGGAAAUGUUUUCCUUGCCCCCUUGUCCCUCUGCAUGUGGAAUGUGGUCACUGGUUAAACAAAUGUUAAGUCUGUGCCCAUUGAGUAAGGGCUGUGGGAGACAAUUUGCCCAUCAACCACUCACAGGCUUUGCCUGAGCAGACAGAAAAGGACAGAAGAGAUGAAAAAGGCGUGGAAGUAUUUGGAAAAUACAGCAAAGCAAAAGCCUCCCCUGCAACAGCAUUCUCUGUCUGUGCCUCUUGCAGCAUUUACAGCAAUUUGGGUUUAAAGGUCUUCCUGGAAAGACUCACACGGUGGGGUUUGGGUAAUACCUGUACCUUGCUGUGACUGAGAAAAUGAAUGUAUCAUUCCAGGGAACCUGAAGUCCUGCCUGGAAAGACACACAUCCCUUCCCCCAAACUGGAAAAUCUUUGGGGCUGAACACUUUCGCUUUGUGUUGUCAGCAGAAGGUGAAAGGAUGCGGUGAGGCUGGAAUGUUGGGGUUUUUUGUUAUCUCUGCUAGUAAAUAUUUGUUUCAGAGCAGAAUGACUCACUGAAUCGUGAGGUCCUUAUCAGUUAGAUCAAUUUGGCCAGGGCAAAGUCUACAUUUUUUCCCAAAAAUGUGUAUUUGCCAAAGAAAUGCAUUUCUGAAUUCCUGUAGUUUCUUUAAAUGAA